rnacentral:miRNA from 1 species
UGACUUCAAGACUGAGCUCAGC